rnacentral:rRNA from 1 species
UACGGGGGGUGCAAGCGUUGUCCGGAUUUAUUGGGUUUAAAGGGUGCGUAGGCGGAAUGAUAAGUCAGUGGUGAAAUCCUUCAGCUUAACUGGAGAAUUGCCAUUGAUACUGUCAAUCUUGAGUACAUUUGAUGUGGGCGGAAUGUGUCAUGUAGCGGUGAAAUGCUUAGAUAUGACACAGAACACCGAUUGCGAAGGCAGCUCACAAAACUGUAACUGACGCUGAGGCACGAAAGCGUGGGUAUCAAACAGG